rnacentral:rRNA from 1 species
CGAGGGGAGUGAAAAAGAACCUGAAACCGUGUACGUACAAGCAGUGGGAGCACAGAGCAAUCUGUGUGACUGCGUACCUUUUGUAUAAUGGGUCAGCGACUUAUAUUCUGUAGCAAGGUUAACCGAAUAGGGGAGCCGAAGGGAAACCGAGUCUUAACUGGGCGUUAAGUUGCAGGGUAUAGACCCGAAACCCGGUGAUCUAGCCAUGGGCAGGUUGAAGGUUGGGUAACACUAACUGGAGGACCGAACCGACUAAUGUUGAAAAAUUAGCGGAUGACUUGUGGCUGGGGGUGAAAGGCCAAUCAAACCGGGAGAUAGCUGGUUCUCCCCGAAAGCUAUUUAGGUAGCGCCUCGUGAAUUCAUCUCCGGGGGUAGAGCACUGUUUCGGCAAGGGGGUCAUCCCGACUUACCAACCCGAUGCAAACUGCGAAUACCGGAGAAUGUUAUCACGGGAGACACACGGCGGGUGCUAACGUCCGUCGUGAAGAGGGAAACAACCCAGACCGCCAGCUAAGGUCCCAAAGUCAUGGUUAAGUGGGAAACGAUGUGGGAAGGCCCAGACAGCCAGGAUGUUGGCUUAGAAGCAGCCAUCAUUUAAAGAAAGCGUAAUAGCUCACUGGUCGAGUCGGCCUGCGCGGAAGAUGUAACGGGGCUAAACCAUGCACCGAAGCUGCGGCAGCGACACUGUGUGUUGUUGGGUAGGGGAGCGU